GUCUUCAUGAUUUUAUUUGAAGUCUGGCCUGCCCAGUGAUGUUUAUUUAACGGCCGCGGUAUUCUGACUGUGCAAAGGUAGCAUAAUCAUUAGUCUUUUAAUAGAGGGCUGGAAUGAAAGGUUUGACAAGGAAUUGACUGUCUUAUAUUUGAUAUUUUAAAAUUUAUCUUUUAAGUCAAAAGACUUAAAUUUUGUUGGAAGACGAGAAGACCCUAUAGAGCUUUAUGAUUGUUCAUUUAAUAUUUAUUGGUGUAUGAAUUUAUUUUAUUUGAAUUUUUAUUUUGUUGGGGUGACAAAAGAAUAUAAUUAACUUUUAUAUUAUUAUUACCAUUAAUAUAUGAUUAUUAGAUCCAUUAUUAUUGAUUUUUAGACUAAGUUACCUUAGGGAUAACAGCGUUAUCUUCUUUUAGAGUUCAAAUUUACAAGAAGGCUUGCGACCUCGAUGUUGGAUUAAGAUUAUAAUUGGGUGCAGUAGCUUAAUUAAUAGGUCUGUUCGACCUUUAAAUUCUUACAUGAUCUGAGUUCAGACCGG
rnacentral:rRNA from 1 species